rnacentral:rRNA from 1 species
GUCUAAGGCCAUACCAUCAUGUACAUACCUGAUCUCAGAAGUUAAGCAGGGUUGGGUCUAGUGCUUGGAUGGGAGACUGCCUGGGAAUAUCAGGUGCUAUGGACU